GGGGCGAUAGCUCAGCUGGGAGAGCGCAGCGUUCGCAACGCUGAGGUCGGGAGUUCGAUCCUCCUUCGCUCCACCA
rnacentral:tRNA from 1 species